rnacentral:rRNA from 1 species
UACGUAGGGGGCAAGCGUUGUCCGGAUUUAUUGGGCGUAAAGAGCGUGUAGGCGGCCUGACAGGUCUGCUGUGAAAACUCGAGGCUCAACCUCGAGAUGUCGGCGGAAACCGUCUGGCUAGAGUCCGGAAGAGGAGAGUGGAAUUCCUGGUGUAGCGGUGAAAUGCGCAGAUAUCAGGAGGAACACCUGAGGUGAAGACGGGUUGCUGGGCCAACACUGACGCUGAUGCGCGAAAGCCAGGGGAGCAAACGGG